rnacentral:rRNA from 1 species
AUAGUUUGAUGCUGGCUCAGAAUGAACGCUGGCGGCAUGGCUAAGACAUGCAAGUCGAACGGACUAUUCUGAAGAGUAAUCGGAUUGAUAGUUAGUGGCGAAAGGGUGAGGAAUGGAUAGGUAACGUACCUCGGGCUCCGGAAUAGCUCAUCGAAAGGUGGGGUAAUGCCGGAUGAUGUCAUCUGUUUAAUGCAGGUGACCAAAGAUUUAUCGGCCCCUGAGCGGCCUAUUCCCUAUCAGCUUGUUGGUGAGGUAACGGCUCACCAAGGCAACGACGGGUAGCGGGACUGAGAGGUUGACCCGCCACAUCGGAACUGAGACACUGUCCGGACCUCCACGGAGGGCUGCAGUAACGAAUAUUGGGCAAUGGACGAAAGUCUGACCCAGCAAUGCCGCGUGUAGGAUGAAGCUUUUCGGAGUGUAAACUACUUUCAGGGAUUAGAAAGCUACGGUUGAUCAAUCCCAGAAGAAGUCACGGCUAACUUCGUGCCAGCAGCCGCGGUAAUACGAAGGUGGCAAGCGUUAUUCGAAAUCACUGGGCUUAAAGGGCGCGUAGGCGGAUAUGUAAGUGUUGAGUGAAAUCCCCCGGCUUAACCGGGGAAUGGCUUAGCAAACUGCAUGUCUUGAGGCAAGUAGGGGUGUGUGGAACUCUUGGUGGAGCGGUGGAAUGCGUAGAUAUCAAGAGGAACGCCGAAGGUGAAGACAGCACACUGGACUUGUACUGACGCUGAGGCGCGAAAGCGUGGGGAGCGAACAGGAUUAGAUACCCUG